AAGAUUCCCAUCUUGAGUUCAAUGAAGAAGACGAAGUUUUCUCCGUUUCGGACUCCCGAAAGACCCGAAAUCUCUGUUUAAAAACCCGAAAUCUCUGUUUCGACCCGUUCUGAAGAGAACCCAAAGGAAGAAAAAGGAAAUGGAGCUUUCCAUUCUCUCUGUAUCUUCAAACAAUUCGACGAUGUCCUUUGGUGGUAGAAUCGGGAUCUGUUCUACUUCAAG
rnacentral:misc_RNA from 1 species